CGACGGGUCGAGCAGGGACGAAAGUCGGGACUAGUGAUCCGGCGGUGGCUUGUGGAAGCGCCGUCGCUCAACGGAUAAAAGGUACCCCGGGGAUAACAGGCUGAUCUUCCCCAAGAGUCCAUAUCGACGGGAUGGUUUGGCACCUCGAUGUCGGCUCGUCGCAUCCUGGGGCUGGAGUCGGUCCCAAGGGUUGGGCUGUUCGCCCAUUAAAGCGGUACGCGAGCUGGGUUUAGAACGUCGUGAGACAGUUCGGUCCCUAUCCGCUGUGCGCGUAGGAAUAUUGAGAAGGGCUGUCCCUAGUACGAGAGGACCGGGACGGACGAACCUCUGGUGUGCCAGUUGUUCUGCCAAGGGCAUGGCUGGUUGGCUACGUUCGGGAGGGAUAACCGCUGAAAGCAUCUAAGCGGGAAGCCUGCUUCGAGAUGAGUAUUCCCACCUCCUUGAGAGGGUAAGGCUCCCAGUAGACGACUGGGUUGAUAGGCCGGAUAUGGAAGCCCUGUAAGGGGUGGAGUUGACCGGUACUAAUAGGCCGAGGGCUUGUCCUCAGUUG
rnacentral:rRNA from 1 species